rnacentral:lncRNA from 1 species
CUCAUUUCCCAUUUCAAUCAACAUCUAACAAUCCAACCUUCUCUGCUACAAAGAAAACACCUUAAACUUCUGAUAUCAAGAAACAAAAAUGGCAUUCAACACGAAGCUACUUUUGGCCAUCUGCUGUGUCGUAUUAGUCUUCACUCUUGUCUCUGCAAACAUUUCCCAAGCAGAGAUCGAUGGCUUCCUCGAGGAGCACAACAAGGCUCGUAAAGAGGUCGGCAACAAACCCCUUAAGUGGAACACAACCUUGGCCCAGUAUGCCCAAGAAUAUGCCAACAAAAGAGUUGAUGACUGCGCUAUGGAGCACUCAAGGGGGCGUUGGGGUGAGAACUUGACCUCGGGCGACGGCAUGACCGGCGCAGCUGGCACUAAAUAUUGGGUCACCGAGAAAGAGUUCUAUGACCCCAAGUCCAACAAAUGUGUCAAAGAGGAAUGUGGUCACUACCUUGCUGUGAUCUGGGGCAAAACCACCGAGGUCGGAUGUGGCAUUUCAAAGUGCAAGGAUGGAAAGAACUACAUCGUUUGCAGCUACGAUCCCAUGUACCAGCCCGAGGACGAGCGCCCAUACUAAAUGAUGUAUGUACGCACACUUACAUGAGGCCUGUUGAGAGGUCCCGUGUUUUUUUUUCUUUUGCGAGCUCCCGUACUUGAUAUGGUAUUGUGAGACAAGAGAAUGGAUAAAAAAUGAAAAGGAUAAUAUUAUUUCAUUUUUUUUGUAAUUUCUAACUAAAUAUUAUCUCAUUCUCUCUAUGUUUUUUUUAUUUUUGCUCAAUCUCAAUUGUCUAAUGCCUCCCCAUCUCGUAUUUGUCUUUAAUUCUUUUGAAAAAAUAUGACAAAUGUGAUAUCAAAAGGAUGUUAAGUGUAUGUUUGGUAUUUUAUUUGAAUUCAACUUUUUAAACUUAAAAAAAAUAAAUUGAGUCCAAAUUUCAAAAAAUAUGUUUGGUAGACCUAAUUACUCAAAACCACACAAAUACUUAAAACCCAAACAAAUCGCUUUUUUAAGAAUUUUUAUGACAAAUUGUUUUUAAUCUUAAAGUAUGGAUUUUAGAACUCCUUGUUUUUGAAGUUUGAGUUCCCUCCUUGAAUACCGAAAAAGUUUUUGAAUCUUAAAAGUUUGAUUUUAGAACUCUUUGUUUUUACGAAAAAUUAAAGUUUUUGAAUUUCAUACUUGAAUAGAUACCAAUAGCCACCUAAGAUUUUCUUGUUCGUGGAUGCACGUGUUUGCAUGCACUGUUUCUUUAUGUAUAUAUGAGAUUUUUUGAACUGAUAUUUGUAGACCAAUUUGAUUGUGGGUUGUAUCAUAACUAGGGACGGUCCUUAGUAAAGAUUAACUUGGGCUAUAGCCCAUGUGUGGUUUUUUUUCUUAGCCCAACAUUUAUAAUACAAGCCACCGAAGCCUACACAUAAUACUUGUUUACACAUAAUUCACGUAAGGUAAAUUUAGUCCAUCUCAUUAUCUAUAUAUAUAAAGUAAAUGGCAGAGAAUGGUGAAACAUUCAAAAUACCAUAAAAUACCUUUAGUUAAUUGAAACAUUAAGAAUUGAAAUUAUUAAUUAAAUAAGGAUAAUAUGGUAAAUUCACAUUUUUUAUAUUAAAAAAAUUAAAAUUAAAAACAAUAUCAUAUAAUAUGUCCUACUUUUGUGGAGCAUAACUAUCCAUGUUAUUUUUUUAUUUUAAAAAUAAAAUAAAAAAUAAAAAAUAAAACCAAUUGAUACAUGGGUGAGCAUAUGCCCAGAGGCUAGUAAAUAUAAUAAAUCUUAUACGAUAUCUUAUACCAUUUCAAGUCAGAUUAAAACUUCAUAUGAUUGGAAGCUAAAGUAUAAUAGAACACUUGUGGUAAAGGUUGAAAUGUCACCUAACUUUUUAUUCAAGAUCUCAAAGAAUUUUUGGAUUAAAACACUUGGCCAAGAUAGUGGGUGCAGUGAUUAGAGGUAGGAACUUGGAUUGCUUUAUAUCAUUAUAGAUUUUGAAAAUUUGAAUGUGUUGGUUGUAAAUAUAUGUCAUCAAUUAUGUCUAUGUUUUUUUUUCGUCUUCAAGUGAGGGAAGAAUCAAAUUUAAGACUUCUUAUAUUGGAAAGAAAAAUACAACUAGACAAAAACCUAACUAGUUUACCCAAAAUUUUAAUAAGGGACUAAUUAUCCGUUACUUUGGUAAGAAACAUAAGGCUAAACAACCGUCACUACUAGAAAACGGACUUAUAAGCCACAUAUUACCGGUGGCUUAUAAUCAUUUUGACCACAGCCAAUUCGUGGCCAAAGGGUGUUAGCCACAGAUAGGCCUCAUCAUUUGGUCUGUGGGCUCAUGGGUCGAUGGGGGCCCACCCGGCCCAUCGAAAAAAAAGUCCGGCCCUACUCGUUAUCGGCUUUGAGAUGGCCCGACCAGCCUUGGGCUGGGCUUGGCUUGGGCUUGGGUGUCUAAAGCCUAGCCCAGCCCGAUUAAGCCUAAGAUAGCCCGGCCCAUUAGGGCCGGAUACAUAUAUAAUUAUGUAUAAAUAAGAGUUUAGGUUUAUGAUUAUAUCACUUAAAUCACAUAUAUAAUUUGUUUCAUUUCAUUUACUUUUCUUUACCCAUGCCUAGUUUAUAAUUGGAUGAUUAGUACAUUAAUUUGUGUCAAUUAUUAAUUCAACAAUUAUAUAUAUAUAAAGGACAAACUUUAAACUUCUCAUAUCAAGAAACAAAAAUAGCGCUCAACAUGAAGCUUCUUUUGGCCAUCUGUUGCGUCGCAUUGGUCUUCACUGUUGUCUCUGCAAACAUUUCCAAAGUAGAGAUCAAUGGCUUCGAUGAGGAGCACAACAAGGCUCGUAAAGAGGUCGGCAACAAACCCCUCAAGUGGAACACGACCUUAGCCCAGUAUGCCCAAGAAUAUGCCGAGAAAAGAGUUGACGAUUGUGCCAUGGAGCACUUGAUUGGGCGUUGGGGUGAGAACUUGGCCUCUGGCAACCGCAUGAGCGGUGCAGCUGCUACCAAGUAUUGGGUCACCGAGAAGGAGUUCUAUGACGAAAAGUCGAACAAAUGCGUCAAAGACGAAUGUGGUCACUACCUUGCUGUGGUCUGGGGCAAAAUCACCGAGGUCGGAUGUGGCAUUUCAAAGUGCAAGAAUGGACAAAACUACGUAGUUUGCAGCUACGAUCCCAUGUACCAGCCCGAGGACGAGCGCCCCUACUAGAUGAUGUAUGUACGCUCACGUGCGCGUAACCACACCAACAUUAGGCAUGUUGAGAGGUCCCGUGUUUUUUUUUUUCUUUUAUUGAAAUUAGAAAAAUUAAAUGUAACGAAUGUAUACAAAUACUUCCCCACACUCACAACAUUUUUUUACGCGACUAGCACUUCAUAUGGUAUUGUGAGAGGUGACAAG